rnacentral:rRNA from 1 species
AUUGAACGCUGGCGGCAGGCCUAACACAUGCAAGUCGAGCGGAUGAAGGGAGCUUGCUCCUGGAUUCAGCGGCGGACGGGUGAGUAAUGCCUAGGAAUCUGCCUGGUAGUGGGGGAUAACGUCCGGAAACGGGCGCUAAUACCGCAUACGUCCUGAGGGAGAAAGUGGGGGAUCUUCGGACCUCACGCUAUCAGAUGAGCCUAGGUCGGAUUAGCUAGUUGGUGGGGUAAAGGCCUACCAAGGCGACGAUCCGUAACUGGUCUGAGAGGAUGAUCAGUCACACUGGAACUGAGACACGGCACAGACCCGUAGGGGAGGCAGCGGGGGGGAAUAUUGGAAAAUGGGCGAAAGCCUGAACCAGCCAGGGCGGGGGGGUGAAGAAGGGCUUCUGAUUGUAAAACACUUUAAGGGGGGGGGAAGGGCAGUAAGUUAAAACCUGGGUGUUUGAAGGUUACCAACAGAAAAAGCACCGGCAAACUUCGG